UCUCAGAAAUUGGGGUGCCUUAAUACUACGGGCUGAGAUCAAACCCUUUGUACCUGAUCCGGAUAAUGCCGGCGUAGGAAAAGAGUAUAGCUAAGAAA
rnacentral:ncRNA from 2 species